UACGGAGGUGGCAAGCGUUGUCCGGAAUUAUUGGGCGUAAAGCGCGCGCAGGCGGUCCUUUAAGUCUGAUGUGAAAGCCCACGGCUCAACCGUGGAGGGUCAUUCGAAACUGGGAGACUUGAGUACUGAAGAGGAAAGUAGAAUUCCAUGUGUAGCGGUGAAAUGCGUAGAGAUGUGGAGGAACACCAGUGGCGAAGGCGACUUUCUGGUCUGUAACUGACGCUGAGGCGCGAAAGCGUGGGUAGCAAACAGG
rnacentral:misc_RNA from 1 species